rnacentral:rRNA from 1 species
CCUACGGGAGGCAGCAGUGAGGAAUAUUGGUCAAUGGCCGGAAGGCUGAACCAGCCAUGCCGCGUGAAGGUCAGUGCCCUAUGGGCGUUAAACUUCUUUUGUGCGGGAGCAAUAAUGGUCACGUGUGGCCAGACGAGAGUACCGUACGAAUAAGCAUCGGCUAACUCCGUGCCAGCAGCCGCGGUAAUACGGGGGAUGCAAGCGUUAUCCGGAGUUAUUGGGUUUAAAGGGUGCGUAGGCUGUGAGGUAAGUCAGCGGUGAAAUGCCCCCGCUCAACGGGGUGAAGUGCCAUUGAUACUGCCUGGCUGGAAUGCGGAUGCCGUGGGAGGAAUGUGUGGUGUAGCGGUGAAAUGCAUAGAUAUCACACAGAACACCGAUUGCGAAGGCAUCUCACGAAGCCGCGAUUGACGCUGAUGCACGAAAGCGUGGGUAUCAAACAGGAGUAGAUACCCCUGUAGUC